UACGGAGGGAGCUAGCGUUAUUCGGAAUUACUGGGCGUAAAGCGCACGUAGGCGGCUUUGUAAGUAAGAGGUGAAAGCCCAGAGCUCAACUCUGGAAUUGCCUUUUAGACUGCAUCGCUUGAAUCAUGGAGAGGUCAGUGGAAUUCCGAGUGUAGAGGUGAAAUUCGUAGAUAUUCGGAAGAACACCAUUGGCGAAGGCGGCUGACUGGACAUGUAUUGACGCUGAGGUGCGAAAGCGUGGGGAGCAAACAGG
rnacentral:rRNA from 1 species